GUGCUCGGCUCGUUAACACGUAUACUAAAAGUGGAACAAUACAGAGAAGAUUAGCAUGGCCCCUGCGCAAGGAAUACACGCAAAUUCAUGAAGCAGUCCAUAUUAAA